GACGAACGCUGGCGGCGUGCUUAACACAUGCAGGUCGAGCGGUAAGGCCCUUUCGGGGGUACGACGAGCGGCGAACGGGUGAGUAACACGUGGGUGACCUGCCCUCAGCUCUGGGAUAAGCCUGGGAAACCGGGUCUAAUACUGGAUAUGACUCCAUGACGCAUGUUGUGGGGUGGAAAGCCUUGUGCGGCUGAGGAUGGGCCCGCGGCCUAUCAGCUUGUUGGUGGGGUGAGGCCUACCAAGGCGACGACGGGUAGCCGGCCUGAGAGGGCGACCGGCCACACUGGGACUGAGACACGGCCCAGACUCCUACGGGAGGCAGCAGGUGGGGAAUCUUGCGCAAUGGGACGAAAGCUUGACGCAGCGACGCCGCGUGAGG
rnacentral:rRNA from 1 species